AAAUAGUAAUAGUAAUAAGCAAUUCAAUUGGACUCCGUUAUAAUAAGUUAAUUAUUAUUAUUUUGAGGUGACACGACCCGAACAAAAUGUACGAGUAGAUUAUAUUUUUGUAAAGACGAAAAAUGAUGAACGUUUGAAAAGCAUACGUUGAUUGUUAAACCCGUGUAUUUUGCUAUGAUAUUAGAUAAUUUACCGAAACGCGCACGAGUGUUCUCUGCAAUAUUCGAUUAAGAUAAUAUGUAAUGGAGAAACAAGAGAUGGGGUUGAUAAUUUCACAAUGUCAUUUAAAAUAACAUUAAGGUGUGAAAACAAAAUACAUUUAAACGUGAAUAAACAUGCAUAGUCUAAAAAUAUAAUAUAUAUUUUUACAGGGACAACAGAAAGGACG